rnacentral:rRNA from 1 species
GCUACGGCCAUAUCAGCCUGGGUACGCCCGAUCUCGUCUGAUCUCGGAAGCUAAGCAGGGUCGGGCCUGGUUAGUACUUGGAUGGGAGACCGCCUGGGAAUACCAGGUGCUGUAAGCA